CAAUAGCGUAUAUUUAAGUUGUUGCAGUUAAAAAGCUCGUAGUUGGAUUUCGGUUGAGAACGGCCGGUCCGCCGUUUGGUGUGCACUGGCUGGUUUCAACUUCCUGUAGAGGACGUGCUCUGGCUUCACGGCUGGACGCGGAGUCUACGUGGUUACUUUGAAAAAAUUAGAGUGUUCAAAGCGGGCUUACGCUUGAAUAUUUCAGCAUGGAAUAACACUAUAGGACUCCUGUCCUAUUUCGUUGGUCUCGGGACGGGAGUAAUGAUUAAGAGGAACAGUUGGGGGCAUUCGUAUUUCAUUGUCAGAGGUGAAAUUCUUGGAUUUAUGAAAGACGAACUUCUGCGAAAGCAUUUGCCAAGGAUGUUUUCAUUAA
rnacentral:rRNA from 1 species